GUGCUUGCUUUGCAGCACAUGUACUAAAAUUGGAACAAUACAAAGAAGAUUAGCAUGGCCCCUGCACAAGGAUGACAUACAAAUUUGUGAAACAUUCCAUAGUUUU
ensembl:snRNA U6 U6 spliceosomal RNA